rnacentral:rRNA from 1 species
UAACACAUGCYAGUCGAACGGUAACAGGAAGCAGCUUGCUGCUUUGCUGACGAGUGGCGGACGGGUGAGUAAUGUCUGGGAAACUGCCUGAUGGAGGGGGAUAACUACUGGAAACGGUAGCUAAUACCGCAUAACGUCGCAAGACCAAAGAGGGGGACCUUCGGGCCUCUUGCCAUCGGAUGUGCCCAGAUGGGAUUAGCUUGUUGGUGGGGUAACGGCUCACCAAGGCGACGAUCCCUAGCUGGUCUGAGAGGAUGACCAGCCACACUGGAACUGAGACACGGUCCAGACUCCUACGGGAGGCAGCAGUGGGGAAUAUUGCACAAUGGGCGCAAGCCUGAUGCAGCCAUGCCGCGUGUAUGAAGAAGGCCUUCGGGUUGUAAAGUACUUUCMGCGGGGAGGAAGGGAGUAAAGUUAAUACCUUUACUCCAUUG